rnacentral:misc_RNA from 1 species
AGCGGCGGCAACUCGAGAGCCAAUGCGUGGCGCAUUGCUGAAGCAGCGCCGUUUGUCCACCUUUCCCAUUCUACCACCAUGGAGUAGAGGGACCACGACAGAGUGACCGUAGAGUUGGUUCUUUAUUCUAUGGUAGAGUUGGUAGAUUUCGGUAGAGUGACCUAAAAUAGCGACAAAGCGAGCAAUGGAGGAGCCGUCGCGAGGUCGGCCGCGCAAGUACGCCACUGCGGAAGAAGCGCGGGCCGCUGCGUCUGCACGGUCACGAUGGCGAAGACAGGCGGAUCCCGAACUACGGAAACGAGAAGCGGAACAACGACGGCUACGACGAGCGAAAGAAACCGAGCGACGAUGCGUGCAGCGAGCAGAAGAGACAGAGACAAGAAAGCGAGAAAACGAAGCUCGGAAAUGUGUAGCAGGCCUUCGCCGUCUUGUGUUACAAGGGCGUAACACCUGCCAGGCCACCACCAGCACGGUAGGCAGCGAUGAGCAAAGGGAUGCAAGUGCCUCAGCACAGCAUACGCAUGACACUGGUGUGCAGACUGGCAGCUGCACGAUGGCUACACAAACCCAUUUCAAGAACCCAUCUGUUGGGACCCAGGUCAAAUUGGUGCUUGCUUGUUCAGGACAGCGGCGGCAAAGGGAUGCAAGUGCCUCAGCACAGCAUACGCGUGACACUUGUGCGCAGACAUAUCUUGGUAGCUGCACGAGGGCGACACAGACCCAUUUCAAAAACCCAUCUGUUGGGACCCAGGUCAAAUGGGUGCUUGCUUGUUCAGGACAGCGGUGGUCAAACAGGUGACAUUCUGACAGAUGACUCUGAGGAGACACCUCGAGAGCUAACGUGUCUCUCCUCUACACCUAAACAAAACGUCUACACGCCACCUCUCGGUGCAAACAGGCCAGGCUAUCUUUGAUGACCUGUGUGGCCCUGAUGAAUCUCGACGUGGAUGAGGUGUGAUGGCCAGGUGCGACACACCCGGUCGUUCUGCAAACUUUGGCACAUACUUUGCUGGACACUACCAUGGACAAAGUCGUGCACAUGGAACUUGUCAAGAACAUAAAUUGCUGCUUUUCAUGACAAUGAGAAUAGCAGCAGGGCUUUUCCAGCAGAUAGCAAUGGGGUUCAGGUCGCAGAGAUUUUCUCAAAAGGAAAUGGAAUGGACGAUGCUGCCAGUGAAAGAGAAGUCAAGUUACAAAACCUAUAAACAGCCAGGGGUGGAUGUGCAAUCUGCCUUAUAUUCAGCAUCUGUAGGAUGUCUUGUUCAACUGCAGGACUUCAGAAGCUGCAAAUAGGGGCAUUCAGAUCAAUGCAUUGAUAUGUGUCCAUUCUCAUCAGCAGUGUGAUGGAUUGCAUCGAGAAGUGGUCAUCCUUCUCUGCAGCUUAACAAGCUUCUGUAUGGCAACAUCACAAACAUCCUUUUCACGAAGCAUGGCCCAGAGCCAACAAACGACGAGUCUAGGAGGAAGCAGUCUUCACGUAUUGCUGCACAGCAGUGUGAAGUGAGGAAGCUGUACCACCCUGCUGGAAUGCCACAAGAAUGCCGAACCAGUCAAAAACGGACCAGGGCCCCCCAAAUGUCUCCCUUGGCAGGGGAUGCGUAUGGUACCGAUGCCGCCAUUCUCUCUUCGGUCACAUUUCUCUCUAUCAUUUUGGUCUUCUGAAAUG